rnacentral:SRP_RNA from 1 species
GGCGGGCAUGGGGGCGCAUCCCUAUAGUACCAGCUACUAGGAGGCUGCAGGGGGAGGACCAACUGAGCCCAGGAGUCCUGGGCUGAGUGCGCUACGCGGCUGGGCAUCUGCACUAUGUUCAGCAUCAACAUGGGGACCUCCCGGGAGCAGGGGACCACAGGUUGCCUGAGGAGGGGUGAAUCGGCCCAGGUCAGAAACGGAGCAGGUCAAAACUCCCAUGCUGAUCAGUAGUGGGAUUGUGCCUAUGAAUAGCCAAUGCACUCCAGCCUGGGCAAGAUAAUGCGAUCCUGUCUCUU